ACCAAUGAGGAGACAAGAUUCUUUCAAAGCUGGGGGGGAACAAAGGGUUCUCUCUGUCUGCGUGUUGCUUUUGCCAGGACCAGAGCAGGAAUGCAGUUCUUCUCAACAUAUCAUUCAAGUGCACCAUUGGGUUGCUCUAAGAUUCAGCGAAACUGGCAUCAUCUGAACAAAGUAAUAAAUGAAGGAUGGUAUCACUUAGGUCUAGAACUACAAUGAAGUUCAUUUUACUGGUGGAUCCCAGAUCAGAGGCAGCAUCAGAGUGUAAAGGAACCCUCUGUCAAGGAACCGAAUGAGAGUACCAUUACGCCUGCCCAGACUCAAUUGAAGACUGAGUAGAUUAGAAUAUAAUAGAAUAUCAACCUGUUUCCAAAUCUGAGUUGACUCUGUGACUGUGUUUGUCUUUUUGUCACAACAGUUAUAUUUCAUUGAACUUGGAGACAGUCAGCAACUCCAGUCCAGUGUGGCCAAUGUGUGUUGCACUGCCAAUAUUAUUUGUACAUGAAUGUGUCUUAGCCAGCCAGGGACAAUCACCAAGCAGAAGACUAAUCUUAGAGUGAGACAGAGCCACCUUUAUGCCAUGCACUCUCCCAGCUGCCAGCAUAAAAGAGAAAAACAGGUCUGGGGGCUAGAGAAAAGGGGGCAUGGCUGUUCCCAUGCCAAUCUGAUCCUCUGCUUGUUUUUGGAUCUUGUGGUCAUUACAGCCCAGUGUAAAUUACAGUAGCCCUUAGUCAAUUCUAACCCAGUGCAUGAGGAACUGCCUGUACAGAACAGCACCAUAAUUACUGAAAUACAAAGUUGAGUCACAUUUGAUGAGCUCUCCUGAUUUGUACUCUGUGCUAUCUGGAUUUACCUAAGGCUCUCUGAUUCAGUGUUUUGCAGUUAUCCAAAUGUCUGUGGAAAUGUGGAGGCAAUUUUUCAAAAUGCAUUUCUUGUGCUAUCUUUCAAGCUAGGUUGGUCACCUGGGGCAUGUAGUUAGUUAUUCCAGUUCCCUAAUUAUCUAAUCCAAGAUCAUGUGUUCUGCAGGAACUAAGAUACAAUUUUGACUCAGUUUUACAAAGAAAGAGGCUAUCUGACUCUCUAUGAACUUUUCUUUUUUUUAAGAAGUCAAAAAAUCCUCAAACUGAACCUCUGUUCCCCAAAAAUUAUGUCUGUCACACCUGGUAUACGCUAAUAAAUAUUAAUUUAUAAUUGCUUUGAAUCUAUAUUGUUGUGCUUUCCAGUCAAGGCUUCCAAAGUGCUUUACAUAUAUUAUUGGAUUUAACCUCACAAUACCCCUAUAUGGUCAGUAUUAUUCCUAACAGGCUUUGGAUCAGGUUUUUACAGACACAGAUUUCAAAAAUACAAAUUUCAUAUAAAUUAAUUUUCACAUUAUGCCCCUGCCAUCUGGAACUCUGACUAUGACCCUGCCACCUGGAAUGAAGCUCGCAGGGAAGCUCCGUUUCCUGUUAUCUUUAAAAUAAAAGCAAAAAGCUUUUUUAGGUGUUUUUUUUUUAAGGCAAUUGGCUAUUUCCUUUUUAAUAGAUGUUUUAUUGCAUUUUAAUCAUUAAAAGAUGCUGC